rnacentral:piRNA from 1 species
UUCACUUCGACAGGUUAUGAGCCCUAGU